ACGAACGCUGGCGGUGCGCCUUAUGCAUGCAAGUCGAGCGAAGCUUUUCAGUAGUUUACUACAGAAAAUGACUGAGCGGCGAACGGGUGAGUAACGCGUGAGCAAUCUACCUUAGUUACAGGGAUAGCCCGAGGAAACUCGGAUUAAUACCUGAUAUUCUUUAUUUCUCGCAUGAGAAUAAAAGGAAAGGUCAGCCGAACUAAGAUGGUCUCGCGGCCUAUCAGGUAGUUGGUGAGGUAACGGCUCACCAAGGCUAUGACGGGUAGCUGGUCUGAGAGGACGAUCAGCCACACUGGAACUGAGACACGGUCCAGACUCCUACGGGAGGCAGCAGCAGGGAAUCUUGCGCAAUGGGCGAAAGCCUGAUGCAGCGACACCGCGUGCGGGAUGACGGCCUUCGGGUUGUAAGCCCCUUUCAGGAGGGAAGAAAAUGACGGUACCUGCAGAAGAAGCCCCGGCCAACUACGUGCCAGCAGCCGCGGUAAUACGUAGGGAGCAAACGUUGUCCGGAUUUAUUGGGCGUAAAGGGCUCGUAGGCGGUUCAACAAGUCGGUCGUGAAAGUUCAGGGCUCAACCCUGAAAUGUCGAUCGAUACUGUUGUGACUAGGAUACGGUAGAGGUGAGUGGAAUUCCGAGUGUAGCGGUGAAAUGCGUAGAUAUUCGGAGGAACACCAAUUGCGAAGGCAGCUCACUGGACCGCUAUCGACGCUGAGGAGCGAAAGCUAGGGGAGCAAACAGGAUUAGAUACCCUGGUAGUCCUAGCUGUAAACGAUGAGCACUAGAUUUUGUGGGUAUUGACCCCUGCAGAGUCGCAGCUAACGCAUUAAGUGCUCCGCCUGGGGAGUACGGUCGCUAGACUAAAACUCAAAGGAAUUGACGGGGGCCCGCACAAGCGGUGGAUUAUGUGGUUUAAUUCGAAGCUACGCGCAGAACCUUACCUAGGCUUGAAAUCCUGAGAAUCUUUUUUAAACGAAAGAGUGCCCUUCGGGGAAUUCAGUGACAGGCGCUGCAUGGCUGUCGUCAGCUCGUGUCGUGAGAUGUUGGGUUAAGUCUCGCAACGAGCGCAACCCCUAUCCUUAGUUGCCAGCAUUAAGUUGGGCACUCUAGGGAGACUGCCCGGGCUAACCGGGAGGAAGGUGGGGAUGACGUCAAGUCCUCAUGGCCCUUAUGCCUAGGGCUACACACGUAAUACAAUGGUUGAUACAGAGGGACGCGAACUCGCGAGGGGGAGCAAAUCUCAAAAAGUCAAUCUCAGUCCGGAUUGGAGUCUGCAACUCGACUCCAUGAAGUUGGAAUCGCUAGUAAUCGUGGAUCAGCACGCCACGGUGAAUACGUUCCCGGGCCUUGUACACACCGCCCGUCACG
rnacentral:rRNA from 1 species